GGGCGUCAUCUCAGUGGUGAACAUGAGUACGGAAAGAGUUGACCGUGCCAUGGAUCAUGACUCUACCAAACUCAGCAGUUUGACGGCCUGCGGCUGAGCAAGGGAAUGUAACCGACCGUCUGCGCUCGGAGAGGUUCCUGUGGACGUGCUUUCGGACAGGGGUUCGACUCCCCUCGCCUCCACCA
rnacentral:tmRNA from 1 species